rnacentral:hammerhead_ribozyme from 1 species
CCACCGCUGAGGAGUCCCAUAAUAGGACGAAACGGCUGUUCAGUGC